GCCGAAGUGGUGGAACAGGCAGACACGCAGGAUUUAGGUUCCUGUGCCCUAGGGCGUACGGGUUCAACUCCCGUCUUCGGCA
rnacentral:tRNA from 1 species